UGUCCUUCGAUCCGAAGAUAGAUAUCCCGUCGCCGUCCGAUUUCGUCCGGUACCCGUAAUGCGUCGGACUUGAUCGGACCAUGGUGUUACCUGCACAGCCGAGCUUUAGAUCGACGCAUUUUGUCGAACAUUUGAUGUGCAGGAAGCCACCACCGACGAUGUGGACAUUGGCGCCGCGGCCGUCUAGGGUCUUGUAGCUGUUAAAGAUGAGUUCCUGUGAGAGUUUGAUGAGCAUGUUGGCAGGGAAGACGAUCCAGAGAGGUUGCGGCUGUAUCACGGCGUAUCGUAAUGUUCCGAGCUUUGGAUUUACUGCAUCGUCAUCGGAAUCGUCCGUGACUAUGUAGAACUCGCCGUUCUUGCCGCCGAGAGCGUACUGGCCGAAUCCUAUGGCGCAAUCGGCGAGGCGCUGGCGGUUGUUUGGCCAAUUUGGAUCGCAUUUCCAGCAGUCGUCGAUGGGGUUCCCGGUGUAGCAAGAAGAAGAUUCAUCUUUCUCAGAGAUUUGGAGCAAUUGCCUUCUCGUUAAGGAAGCAUUCACUUUCCUGCAACAGGGCUAGGAUGCUGGCCAGGGAGAGUGAGGUUGAGAGCGGCGGCGGUGGCGGUGGUGGCACCGGCACGGAGCGGCAAGCGGGAGGGUAGCAGCAAAGCUAGCAGCACAAUGCAGGUUGUGGCCAGCAUUUCGGAGAGCAAAAAUGGUAAGCUCUCUCACUCAGUCUCUCUACAGGCUUUAGAAAUUGCUCUGCAGUGGUGUUUAUGUUUGUUGUUUUUGAGUGGAGAAGUGUUUUUUCAACUGUUUUUCUUCAUUUUUCUUCCUUCCAUGUUACCCUCAAAAGCAUUCUCAGCUCUCAUUCUGUCUAAUAUAAUCAUUGUCAGAGACUUUUGGGAUUCAGUUAGUGAGAGAAUGGGGUGGAGAGAGAAUCUUUGGUUCUCGAGGAGGAAAGUUGUAUCCAAUUUACUUUUGAAGGGAAACGGGUUAAUUUCAUUUGGGUUUUCUUUUAGUUCCACAAAGGGGAGGGAGAGAUCCCAUCCUUGGCCUCUUGUAGUGUAAACAUACCUUAAUUUAUUGAGUUUUGUUGAUGUUAAGUUGGUACAAAUAAGAGUUUUUGUGGAGAAUCAAUAGAAAAAUGAACCUUCUAAA